CAGCAGCCGCGGUAAUACGUAGGUCCCGAGCGUUGUCCGGAUUUAUUGGGCGUAAAGCGAGCGCAGGCGGUUUGAUAAGUCUGAAGUUAAAGGCUGUGGCUCAACCAUAGUUCGCUUUGGAAACUGUCAAACUUGAGUGCAGAAGGGGAGAGUGGAAUUCCAUGUGUAGCGGUGAAAUGCGUAGAUAUAUGGAGGAACACCGGUGGCGAAAGCGGCUCUCUGGUCCGUAACUGACGCUGAGGCUCGAAAGCGUGGGGAGCGAACAGGAUUAGAUACCCCCGUAGUCCCUGUCUCUUAUACA
rnacentral:rRNA from 1 species